AUUGUGGUGCAGGAAAUCUCGAAACAAACCCUUGAACCUCUCCCAAGAUGAAUAUAGGAAGUCUCCCUCCUUCUGUUUAAAGGCAAAUAUUUCAUUUUCGAUCUU
rnacentral:snoRNA from 1 species